CUGCUCCUCAACCUUUUAAUGUCAGACUGACCAAGAGAAGAACACAGGAUCUGACAGAAGGAGACAAAAGAAGCAAAGGUGGCGAGGCUGGUGAUGGAGAAACCCGUGAAAAUACCCUGAAGGAAUGAAGUGCAGUGUGGAAGACGGUGACUCAUAUCUCUGCAGUGAUCCUUCAGUAAAAGGUGAAUGCUUUUUAGAAGGACAUUUUAAUACCUAAUGGGUAGUUGAAGACAAUGCUAUGUUUCCAUAUUUGGAUGCUAUUUCUGGUGAAGGAGGAGUGUAAUACAGACAUACUUCAAUUAUCAAAGUCUCUGAGAAAGGGCCCCCAGGAGGAGGAAGGGCUGCUAACCAGCGUCUCAGAGCAUGUGCAAGUGACAGAGGAUAUGGGAGCCUGUGGCAUUCGGAGUUGCCCACCACCUGCUGGGAUCCACUUACAAAGCUGCAAACACAUGGGAAGACUGCCGCUCUUGCUGACACAUCGCAGGAGGACCAAGCGGAGACUGUCGCUCCCAGUCAACUUGAGUUCUGCUAUAAUGAACAAAAAUUACAGUUCAAACAUGAACCUCUGA
rnacentral:lncRNA from 1 species